GACGAACGCUGGCGGCGUGCCUAAUACAUGCAAGUAGAACGCUGAAGAGAGGAGCUUGCUCUUCUUGGAUGAGUUGCGAACGGGUGAGUAACGCGUAGGUAACCUGCCUUGUAGCGGGGGAUAACUAUUGGAAACGAUAGCUAAUACCGCAUAACAAUGGAUGACACCUGUCAUUUAUUUGAAAGGGGCAAUUGCUCCACUACAAGAUGGACCUGCGUUGUAUUAGCUAGUAGGUGAGGUAAUGGCUCACCUAGGCGACGAUACAUAGCCGACCUGAGAGGGUGAUCGGCCACACUGGGACUGAGACACGGCCCAGACUCCUACGGGAGGCAGCAGUAGGGAAUCUUCGGCAAUGGGGGCAACCCUGACCGAGCAACGCCGCGUGAGUGAAGAAGAUUUUCGGAUCGUAAAGCUCUGUUGUAAGUCAAGAACGGGUGUGAGAGUGGAAAGUUCACACUGUGACGGUAGCUUACCAGAAAGGGACGGCUAACUACGUG
rnacentral:rRNA from 1 species